CAGCAGCCGCGGUAAUACGUAGGGCGCAAGCGUUGUCCGGAAUUAUUGGGCGUAAAGAGCUCGUAGGCGGUCUGUCGCGUCUGGUGUGAAAUCCCGAGGCUCAACCUCGGGCUUGCAUCGGGUACGGGCAGACUAGAGUGCGGUAGGGGAGACUGGAAUUCCUGGUGUAGCGGUGGAAUGCGCAGAUAUCAUGAGGAACACCGAUGGCGAAGGCAGGUCUCUGGGCCGCAACUGACGCUGAGGAGCGAAAGCAUGGGGAGCGAACAGGAUUAGAUACCCCGGUAGUCCCUGUCUCUUAUAU
rnacentral:rRNA from 1 species